GACGAACGCUGGCGGCGUGCCUAAUACAUGCAAGUCGAGCGAGCGGAACUAACAGAUUUACUUCGGUAAUGACGUUAGGAAAGCGAGCGGCGGAUGGGUGAGUAACACGUGGGGAACCUGCCCCAUAGUCUGGGAUACCACUUGGAAACAGGUGCUAAUACCGGAUAAGAAAGCAGAUCGCAUGAUCAGCUUUUAAAAGGCGGCGUAAGCUGUCGCUAUGGGAUGGCCCCGCGGUGCAUUAGCUAGUUGGUAAGGUAAAGGCUUACCAAGGCGAUGAUGCAUAGCCGAGUUGAGAGACUGAUCGGCCACAUUGGGACUGAGACACGGCCCAAACUCCUACGGGAGGCAGCAGUAGGGAAUCUUCCACAAUGGACGCAAGUCUGAUGGAGCAACGCCGCGUGAGUGAAGAAGGUUUUCGGAUCGUAAAGCUCUGUUGUUGGUGAAGAAGGAUAGAGGUAGUAACUGGCCUUUAUUUGACGGUAAUCAACCAGAAAGUCGCGGCUAACUACGUGCCAGCAGCCGCGGUAAUACGUAGGUGGCAAGCGUUGUCCGGAUUUAUUGGGCGUAAAGCGAGCGCAGGCGGAAGAAUAAGUCUGAUGUGAAAGCCCUCGGCUUAACCGGAGAAGUGCAUCGGAAACUGGAUAACUUGAGUGCAGAAGAGGGUAGUGGAACUCCAUGUGUAGCGGUGGAAUGCGUAGAUAUAUGGAAGAACACCAGUGGCGAAGGCGGCUACCUGGUCUGCAACUGACGCUGAGACUCGAAAGCAUGGGUAGCGAACAGG
rnacentral:rRNA from 1 species